rnacentral:hammerhead_ribozyme from 1 species
AUCCAGCUAACGAGUGCUAAAUAGGACGAAACGAGCGUCAAACUGGAU